AAGAUUAAGCCAUGCAUGUCUCAGUACAAGCCAAAUUAAGGUGAAACCGCGAAAGGCUCAUUAAAUCAGUUAUGGUUCCUUAGAUCGUACCCACAUUUACUUGGAUAACUGUGGUAAUUCUAGAGCUAAUACAUGCAAACAGAGCUCCGACCGGAGACGGAAAGAGCGCUUUUAUUAGAUCAAAACCAAUCGGUGGCGGGUCUCCCGUCACCGUUCACCUUGGUGACUCUGAAUAACUUAUUGCUGAUCGCACGGUCUCGCACCGGCGACGCAUCUUUCAAAUGUCUGCCUUAUCAACUGUCGAUGGUAGGUUCUGCGCCUACCAUGGUUGUAACGGGUAACGGGGAAUCAGGGUUCGAUUCCGGAGAGGGAGCCUGAGAAACGGCUACCACAUCCAAGGAAGGCAGCAGGCGCGCAAAUUACCCACUCCCGGCACGGGGAGGUAGUGACGAAAAAUAACGAUACGGGACUCAUCCGAGGCCCCGUAAUCGGAAUGAGUACACUCUAAACCCUUUAACGAGGAUCAAUUGGAGGGCAAGUCUGGUGCCAGCAGCCGCGGUAAUUCCAGCUCCAAUAGCGUAUAUUAAAGUUGUUGCGGUUAAAAAGCUCGUAGUCGAAUUUGUGUCCCGCGCCGCCGGUUCAUCGCUCGCGGUGUCAACUGGCGUGUCCGCGGGACGUCCUGCCGGUGGGCUUAGCCCCAACGUGGGCGGCCCAAUCUCAAUCCCACCGCGGUGCUCUUCACUGAGUGUCGAGGUGGGCCGGCACGUUUACUUUGAACAAAUUAGAGUGCUUAAAGCAGGCUAAAACAUCGCCUGAAUACUGUGUGCAUGGAAUAAUGGAAUAGGACCUCGGUUCUAUUUUGUUGGUUUUCGGAACCCCGAGGUAAUGAUUAAUAGGAACGGAUGGGGGCAUUCGUAUUGCGACGUUAGAG
rnacentral:rRNA from 1 species